rnacentral:rRNA from 1 species
UGGGGAAUAUUGCGCAAUGGGGGGAACCCUGACGCAGCCAUGNCGCGCGAAUGAAGAAGGCCUUAGGGUUGUAAAGUUCUUUCGGUAUUGAGGAAGGUUGAUGUGUUAAUAGCACAUCAAAUUGACGUUAAAUACAGAAGAAGCACCGGCUAACUCCGUGCCAGCAGCCGCGGUAAUACGGAGGGUGCGAGCGUUAAUCGGAAUAACUGGGCGUAAAGGNCAAGCAGGCGGUUAUUUAAGUGAGGUGUGAAAGCCCCGGGCUUAACCUGGGAAUUGCAUUUCAGACUGGGUAACUAGAGUACUUUAGGGAGGGGUAGAAUUCCACGUGUAGCGGUGAAAUGCGUAGAGAUGUGGAGGAAUACCGAAGGCGAAGCNNGCCCCCUGGGAAUGUACUGACGCUCAUGUGCGAAAGCGUGGGGAGCAAACAGGAUUAGAUACCCUGGUAGUCCACGCUGUAAACGCUGUCGAUUUGGGGGUUGGGGUUUAACUCUGGCGCCCGUAGCUAACGUGAUAAAUCGACCGCCUGGGGAGUACGGCCGCAAGGUUA